AACGAACGCUGGCGGCAGGCUUAACACAUGCAAGUCGAGCGCCCCGCAAGGGGAGCGGCAGACGGGUGAGUAACGCGUGGGAAUCUACCCAUCCCUACGGAACAACUCCGGGAAACUGGAGCUAAUACCGUAUACGCCCUUCGGGGGAAAGAUUUAUCGGGGAUGGAUGAGCCCGCGUUGGAUUAGCUAGUUGGUGGGGUAAUGGCCUACCAAGGCGACGAUCCAUAGCUGGUCUGAGAGGAUGAUCAGCCACACUGGGACUGAGACACGGCCCAGACUCCUACGGGAGGCAGCAGUGGGGAAUAUUGGACAAUGGGCGCAAGCCUGAUCCAGCCAUGCCGCGUGAGUGAUGACGGCCCUAGGGUUGUAAAGCUCUUUCGCAGGUGAAGAUAAUGACGGUAACCUGAGAAGAAGCCCCGGCUAACUUCGUGCCAGCAGCCGCCGUAAUAC
rnacentral:rRNA from 1 species